AAUGAAUCUAAAAUAUAUGAAUGUUAAAUUUUCAUCAUUACGUUAUGGAAAAUAAUGAACUUUAUCACAAUAUGCUAAUAUUUUGAGAAGGACCUGUAUAUGAAGACAGCUAAGGAGCUUGGUGAGCGUGCAAUUUGCAAAUCAAGUUUGAAGGCGCUUUGGACCCAGCUACUCCCACACAUAAGAAGCUGUAGGCCCCGCACCGACCUCUGCUGGCAGUGCCAACAGAAUAUUGAUCAGCUUAUAAGAAGUGCAAACCUUCCAGAGGAGAGGAACACUGCAGCAAUCAAGAAGCAACAGGAUCAUAUUCAGCUUGUUCAAAAAGAGAGGGCCUACAACGAGACAAAACAAAACAUUUUAUGUUGUGGUAUGGCGCCUGGCGGGUCGCACACAAGCUUCACUCCACACUAAACAUCCACUUCCUGAUUACUGGCCACACCAAAUUUUCCCUGGACUGUGGCUUUGGGGUUAUCAAACAAGCAUACAAGAGGACCAGGGUCAGCACAUUGCCAGAUAUCGCCAAAGUAGUGGAAAACAGCUCUCCUGAAAGUCGCCUCAACAUCCCACAGCUGGUCGGACUGGAAGAUGGCAAUUUGUAAUGUGUAUAGAGUUGUAAAUAAAAAUCACAUUUGUGACAUGA